rnacentral:rRNA from 1 species
CCUACGGGAGGCAGCAGUGGGGAAUAUUGGACAAUGGGGGGAACCCUGAUGCAGCGACGCCGCGUGAGUGAAGAAGUAUUUCGGUAUGUAAAGCUCUAUCAGCAGGGAAGAAAAUGACGGUACCUGACUAAGAAGCCCCGGCUAACUACGUGCCAGCAGCCGCGGUAAUACGUAGGGGGCAAGCGUUAUCCGGAUUUACUGGGUGUAAAGGGAGCGUAGGUGGAGGGGUAAGUCUGAUGUGAAAGCUAGGGGCCAAACCCGGGGACUGCAUUGGAAACUAUUCAACUAGAGUGCUGGAGGGGUAAGCGGAAUUCCUAGUGUAGCGGUGAAAUGCGUAGAUAUUAGGAGGAACACCAGUGGCGAAGGCGGCUUACUGGACAGAAACUGACAUUGAGGCUCGAAAGCGUGGGGAGCAAACAGGAUUAGAUACCCGAGUAGUC